rfam:Anaerostipes sp. 992a contig000004, whole genome shotgun sequence.
GCUUCGAUGGCUCAGAUGGUAGAGCAACGCAUUCGUAAUGCGUGGGUCGUGGGUUCGAGUCCCAUUCGAAGCU